AGUUGUUUUUCAGACCCCCUGAUCUCUCUCUGCCUUUUUUGGACCAAGAAGCAGGAAAAAAUGGAACAAAUAUCCAAGAACACAGACAUGGCCAACAAAAGUGCUACACCAAUUACACACGUCUCUAUGCCCCAAUAAUAAUUGAAAGUGACUCGGAAGCGUCCGAUGAUAGCAGACAACAUGUUCAAGAAG